GAAUAAUAGAGAGCAGGAUGUAGAACAUUUCGAAAUGCCACAGUGUAGAAUUAAAACAUGCCAAUGUAGUGGUGUGUAAACCUGGGCUGCGGCCAAAGAUUUGAAUCCUAACCACUGGAUGAUCAGCAAACUACUUAAGGGAAACUGCAAACUGACUUUGACCUGCUGACAAAGCUGAGGCCAAUUUGUCCACUUCAUUUGGAUUUCUGUCACUGUUGUUGUCAAGUUUUGUUGCUGCUGUUCACAUAGGGGUAAAGCAGAAUAACUGAUGACUGAUUUUGUGACAUGUGUGAACAAGGACAAGUAGUUGUGGCCGAGUGGUGAAGGCGAUGGACUUGAAAUCCAUUGGGAUCUCCCCCCACAGGUUCGAAUCCUGCCAUCUAGGAAGCUAUUGGUGAUGCUUACAUCAUGAGUUUUCCACAAGUGAGCCUUCCUCCAGCCAUUUCUUCACUUCAAAACACAUCUCAGAUUAUUCUUUGAAGUAGCCAUGCAAAGAUCUGGGAUAACUUGGCCUUUGGCACUUAUAUUAGGCUCAUCUCUGUGAGACAGCUUCAGGUGAACUGCAAUUUUCUAUUUAUUUAUUGGCUUAUUUGAAAUUCAAAAGAUUUAAAAUUGAGGUAAUGCAACUGCAUUGGCUGGGACUUGACUACCAGUUAAAAGCUUGGAAGGCAGCUAUGCCCCACACUAUACAAUCACUAUGUUUCUAAUUACUACCGAGCCUGUCGUGUGUAUGUUGUAGCCCGAGUAGACCCGUGAAUUUGGGUUAUUGCAAGUUCUAUCUAAGUCUAACAUGUGUGUUGUUGCUUAUCUAGUCAGCUACUUUAGCUGUAAAGGUGAAGUGUUUUUUUUAUACAGGCUGACACAUACCAGGUACCGAAACGCGAGGAGGUUGCUUCUCAAACUGACACGCGGCUACCUUGUAGAAAAGUAUUAGACUGCUCACCUCAGGAGCAAGGUAUGUACAUUUAACAGCAGUAUAAUCAUUUGUUGGCCAAUAUGCAGUUUUAUUUGACAGAGAUUUUGCAUUUCACAUUUCAGUAGUUGUGGUAUUCAUAAUCUGAUCUAUAUUAUUGUCUAUGUAUUUACUCUGUAUGCAGUUGGUCAACUUAUUUUGAUAUUUUAGUCUGUUGACGGGUAUUUUGUAACUCUAGUGUUAUGGUGCAGAUUAUGUGGAAAAUGUGAUGUGACCAUCUUCAAUAAAGUCCUGCUGGACUCAGGUUGUUCUAUGGAGGACCUUGUAAACAUCCCUGUCCCACCGGCCCUCUGAGCAGAAUUUGAGCAACCUGACAGAAAGGAGAGUGGUGUCAAGGAAAACAGCUGCAUCCUCCAUCUGUACAGCAGCUGCACUGCUUUCGAUGUCUUCCAACAGGUGAAGACAAAAAAGAUCCUCACAUCUCCCCAGCCAACUGCUCAUGACUGUACCUGUUCCACUCCAGAAACUAUGCUUUCAACAUAACUAUGAAUCCUACCCGUUCAUUUUUUGGUCUGCAAAUUGAACUGUGACGGUAACUUAUCCAGCAUUAUAGUGCUGGUGCAUUGGUUAAAAAUAAAGUUGGCUUUGACUAUUGCUGUUUCACUGAACUAUUUUUGUAUGUAUAUACCUAAUGAGGGAAAACAGACAAAUGUUUUAUAAUAUUUCAGCUUUUAUUGAGGUAUUGCAAAAAAAAACAAUAAUUUAGGUAUUUCACAGGUGGUCUAAGUCCAACAUAGGUGCCUUGUCCCUCUGGAAACACUCCCCUGAUCCAGACCAGGGAAUAUGGGAUGACUUGGACUCUUCGCCCUAGAAGUCCCCAGCACCAGCUGACAAGACUUCUAGGCUAGAUACCUGCAACAACUUGAGAUACACACAGACAGUACUGAAAAAAACAAUAAUUUCUAUUAGUUAUAUAUUAGCACUUGAUAUAUCAUACACCUUACUAAAAGCAAUUAAAAUUUUUUAGGUCAAUAUAUAUUUAGAAACAAAAUUAUUAAUUACCAACAACUAAAGUCAAUACUUAAUGCAAAAAGUAAGAAUACUGCCAUCCACAUGCAACCACCACCAGUAAUAGAGCGAUUUAUUGAUAUAUCAGGGAAAAGGACAGUAUCCAAAAUCUAUAUCUUAAUUUCCAAUGUAGACCAGACAGUGAGCCUUCCGAUCUCUAAAUGGGAAGCUGAUCUCAAUAUCACCACUAAUUACACGUUCUGGAAUAACAUAUGUUCUAAUUUAUUCAGAAUGACAAAAAAUACAAAUUUACAACUAAUACAAUACAAAAUUCUUCAUAGAACUCACUAUACAGGACAAAGGAUGUUCCAAAUGGGUCUCACAAACUCAAAUAUUUGCCCUCACUGUACAGAUAACACAGCAGAUAGAUUCCUACAUGCAUUCUGGUCAUGCUCACCUGUGCAGCAAUUUUGGCAAAGAGUAUGUGAACACCUGUCAACCAAGUUAAGCUGUCCAAUCCCAGCAGCCCCUGCACUUUGUCUUCUAGGAGAUCUAAGUGGGCUUGAUCUAGAGACAAACUCAUCACACACACUUCUUUCUGCCCUCUGUGUCGCAAAGAAAAUCAUCCUCAUGAACUGGAAAACUAAAAAAAAAAUUAAGCA